UCUUGGUCAUUUAGAGGAAGUAAAAGUCGUAACAUCUUGGUCAUUUAGAGGAAGUAAAAGUCGUAACAAGGUCUCCGUUGGUGAACCAGCGGAGGGAUCAUUACCGAGUUUACAACUCCCAAACCCCUGUGAACAUACCUAUACGUUGCCUCGGCGGAUCAGCCCGCGCCCCGUAAAAAGGGACGGCCCGCCCGAGGACCCCUAAACUCUGUUUUUAGUGGAACUUCUGAGUAAAACAAACAAAUAAAUCAAAACUUUCAACAACGGAUCUCUUGGUUCUGGCAUCGAUGAAGAACGCAGCAAAAUGCGAUAAGUAAUGUGAAUUGCAGAAUUCAGUGAAUCAUCGAAUCUUUGAACGCACAUUGCGCCCGCCAGUAUUCUGGCGGGCAUGCCUGUUCGAGCGUCAUUUCAACCCUCAAGCUCAGCUUGGUGUUGGGACUCGCGGUAACCCGCGUUCCCCAAAUCGAUUGGCGGUCACGUCGAGCUUCCAUAGCGUAGUAAUCAUACACCUCGUUACUGGUAAUCGUCGCGGCCACGCCGUAAAACCCCAACUUCUGAAUGUUGACCUCGGAUCAGGUAGGAAUACCCGCUGAACUUAAGCAUAUCAAUAAGCGGAGGAA
rnacentral:rRNA from 2 species